AUAACCUGCCGUGCACAGGGGGAUAACACUUAGAAAUAGGUGCUAAUACCGCAUAAGCGCACAGUUUCGCAUGAGACAGUGUGAAAAGCCUGGAAGCGAUUCCUGGCGGUGCAUGAUGGAUCCGCGUCCGAUUAGCUAGUUGGCGGGGUAAAGGCCCACCAAGGCAGCGAUCGGUAGCCGGCCUGAGAGGGUGGACGGCCACAUUGGGACUGAGACACGGCCCAAACUCCUACGGGAGGCAGCAG
rnacentral:rRNA from 1 species